CCUACGGGAGACAGCAGUAGGGAAUUUUCGGCAAUGGGGGGAACCCUGACCGAGCAACGCCGCGUGAACGAAGAAGUUAUUCGUAAUGUAAAGUUCUUUUAACAGGGAAGAAAGAGAAAUUUGACGGUACCUGAAGAAUAAGCUCCGGCUAACUACGUGCCAGCAGCCGCGGUAAUACGUAGGGAGCGAGCGUUAUCCGGAAUUAUUGGGCGAAAAGGGUGCGUAGAUGGCAUAGUAAGUCUUUUGUAAAAAUGCUGGGCUCAACCCAGUAGGGCAAAAGAUACUGCAAAGCUAGAGUAUGACAGAGGCAAGUGGAACUACAUGUGUAGCGGUAAAAUGCGUAAAUAUAUGUAAGAACACCAGUGGCGAAGGCGGCUUGCUGGGUCGAUACUGACAUUGAGGCACGAAAGCGUGGGGAGCAAACAGGAUUAGAUACCCCAGUAGUC
rnacentral:rRNA from 1 species